rnacentral:rRNA from 1 species
UACGGGGGGGGCAAGCGUUGUUCGGAAUUACUGGGCGUAAAGGGCGCGUAGGCGGCCUUCUAAGUCAGACGUGAAAUCCCUCGGCUCAACCGAGGAACUGCGUCUGAUACUGGCGUGCUUGAGGACUGGAGAGGAGACUGGAAUUUACGGUGUAGCAGUGAAAUGCGUAGAGAUCGUAAGGAAGACCAGUGGCGAAGGCGGGUCUCUGGACAGUUCCUGACACUGAGGCACGAAGGCCAGGGGAGCAAACGGGG